UCCAAACUAAACAGCAAAAAAUUAGAGAGAAUAAGAGUAAGAAUUCGAACAGAGUUCCAUGUGUUUAUAUUGGAUAAAUGACUCUUAGCUUGUUUUGCUUCUUGCAGACUUAUGGGAUUCAGGAAAAAUGUUUUGUUUAGUUCCUCUCGUAGAACUAAAGAGGUGAUGUUGAUACAACCAUUUUUUCCCAUUUUGUUUGACCAAGAAUGUAUUUGUAUAAAAUCCAAAUGCAACCGCAGUUGGGUGAUGGAUGACAUUAUCGCUCGUUUCUUUAACUUCUAAGAUUUCUACUUGCCAUAAAAAAAAUAUAAAAAAAAAAAAAAAACUAGUGGCAAAAUUAUAUCAAGG
rnacentral:lncRNA from 1 species